AGGGUGCAGGGCGGAUGCCUUGGCACUAGGAGCCGAUGAAGGACGUGAUAAGCUGCGAUAAGCUUCGGGGAGUUGCACGUAAACUUUGAUCCGAAGAUUUCCGAAUGAGGAAACUCACUUAGAGUAAUGUCUAAGUAUCAUUAAGUGAAUACAUAGCUUAAUGAGGGGAACUCAGGGAACUGAAACAUCUAAGUACCUGAAGGAAGAGAAAGAAAUUCGAUUCCGUAAGUAGCGGCGAGCGAACGCGGAUUAGCCCAAACCAAUAAAGUUUUCUUUAUUGGGGUUGCGGACAUAUCAUAACGAAGAGGUAUCGUAAUUGAAGAGGUUUGGAAAGACCCACCACAGAAGGUAAUAGUCCUGUAUGUUAAACGAGAAGACUUUAGAUAUGAUCCAGAGUACCACGGGACACGUGAAACCCUGUGGGAAGCAGGAGGGACCACCCUCCAAGGCUAAAUACUACCUAGUGACCGAUAGCGUAUAGUACCGUGAGGGAAAGGUGAAAAGAACCCCGGGAGGGGAGUGAAAUAGAACCUGAAACCCUGCACUUACAAGCUGUGGAAGCACAUUUCUUGUGUGACCGCGUACUUUUUGUAGAACGGGCCAACGAGUUACGUUAAGUAGCAAGGUUAAGCACUUAAGGUGUGGAGCCGUAGCGAAAGCGAGUUUUAACUGAGCGUUCAGUUACUUGACGUAGACCCGAAACCGGGCGACCUACCCAUGAGCAGGAUGAAGCGAAAGUAAAAUUUCGUGGAGGUCCGAACCCACGAGCGUUGAAAAGCUCGGGGAUGACUUGUGGGUAGCGGUGAAAUUCCAAUCGAGCCCGGAGAUAGCUGGUUCUCCCCGAAAUAGCUUUAGGGCUAGCCUCAAGGUGAGAGAUACGGAGGUAGAGCACUGAAUGUCCUAGGGGGUAUUGCACCUACCGAAGACUAUCAAACUCCGAAUGCCGUCAUCUUAUACUUGGGAGUCAGACUGUGGGUGAUAAGAUUCAUAGUCGAAAGGGCAACAGCCCAGAUCGUCAGCUAAGGUCCCUAAAUGUAAGUUAAGUGGUAAAGGAUGUGGGAUUGCACAGACAACCAGGAUGUUGGCUUAGAAGCAGCCACUCAUUCAAAGAGUGCGUAAUAGCUCACUGGUCGAGUGAUCCUGCGCCGAAGAUUUCCGGGGCUAAAACUUACUACCGAAGCUACGGCAUCAGUAAUGAUGGGUAGGGGAGCUUCCCAUACGGGUUGAAGCAUGACCGUAAGGACAUGUGGACAGUAUGGGAGUGAGAAUGUUGGCAUGAGUAGCGAGAUGUGGGUGAGAAUCCCACAGGCCGUAAACCCAAGGUUUCCAGGGGAAGGUUCGUCCGCCCUGGGUUAGUCGGGACCUAAGCUGAGGCCGAAAGGCGUAGGUGAUGGACAACAGGUUGAUAUUCCUGUACUACCGAUAACCGUUUGAGAGAAGGGAUGACACAGUAGGAUAAGCUAAGCACACUGUUGGUUAUGUGUGCCCAAGCAUUGAGGCAGUCAAAGUAGGCAAAUCCGCUUUGAUAAUGCUGGGAUGUGAUGGGGAGCGAAAUUUAGUAGCGAAGUAGCUGAUUUCACACUGUCAAGAAAAGUCUCUAUCGAGGUUAAAGGUACCCGUACCGCAAACCGACACAGGUGGGUGAGGAGAGUAUCCUAAGGCCAGCGAGAGAACUGUUGUUAAGGAACUCGGCAAAAUGACCCCGUAACUUAGGGAUAAGGGGUGCCACCAUCAGGUGGCCGCAGAGAAUAGGCCCAAGCGACUGUUUACCAAAAACAUAGGUUUCUGCUAAGUCGCAAGACGAUGUAUAGGAGCUGACGCCUGCCCGGUGCUGGAAGGUUAAGGGGAUCUGUUAGAGCAAUCGAAGCAGUGAACUUAAGCCCCAGUAAACGGCGGCCGUAACUAUAACGGUCCUAAGGUAGCGAAAUUCCUUGUCGGGUAAGUUCCGACCCGCACGAAAGGCGUAACGAUUUGGGCACUGUCUCAACAACAGACUCGGUGAAAUUGUAAUUCCGGUGAAGAUGCCGGAUACCUGCGACAGGACGGAAAGACCCCAUGGAGCUUUACUGUAGCUUGACAUUGGGUCUUGGUACUACAUGUACAGGAUAGGUGGGAGGCUUUGAAACCAGGACGCCAGUUUUGGCGGAGCCAUCCUUGGGAUACCACCCUUGUAGUACUGGGACUCUAACCAUAGGCCAUGAAUCUGGUCUUGGGACACUGUCAGGUGGGCAGUUUGACUGGGGCGGUCGCCUCCCAAAAGGUAACGGAGGCGCUCAAAGGUUCUCUCAGUACGGUCGGAAAUCGUACGUAGAGUGUAAAGGCAAAAGAGAGCUUGAUUGCAAGACAUACAGGUCGAGCAAGGAUGAAAAUCGGACUUAGUGAUCCGGUGGUUCUGCGUGGAAGGGCCAUCGCUCAACGGAUAAAAGCUACCCUGGGGAUAACAGGCUUAUCUCCCCCAAGAGUCCACAUCGACGGGGAGGUUUGGCACCUCGAUGUCGGCUCAUCACAUCCUGGGGCUGUAGUAGGUCCCAAGGGUUGGGCUGUUCGCCCAUUAAAGUGGUACGCGAGCUGGGUUCAGAACGUCGUGAGACAGUUCGGUCCCUAUCCGUCGCAGGCGUAGGAAAUUUGAGAAGACCUGUCCUUAGUACGAGAGGACCGGGAUGGACGUACCUCUGGUGUACCAGUUGU
rnacentral:rRNA from 1 species